ensembl:lncRNA
ACUGGUUGAAAGCGAACAGCUGUCUUCCCGUGACUAGUGCGCAUCGAUUCGAUAAACCCAAUCAUUGAUCACAGCGAUCGAUCAAGUCAUGUCAAGGGGAUAAUCGUACUCCGGAUUUGGGAAAAUACUGUACAUCAACGGAUAUCCAUUGCAACAGUUUUGUCAUCUGAGGAUAGAGCAAGAGAGUCUGCAACGAUCGUGGUCCUCCCCGGAUGAGGAAUAGGAAGGAUCAGACCAAAACGCAGUGUGCCUGGUGAGCCCUGUGGCAGCUCCACGUACCAGACUGCCCAUACAUGACUGCCCAUACGUCUCCUCCCUCCAUUGAUAAUCCAUGGCACGAAGCCUCCAGUGAUGCUCCAUGGCACGAAGCCUCCAGUGAUGCUCCAUGGCACGAAGCCUCCAGUGAUGCUCCAUGGCACGAAGCCUCCAGCGACAGUCUCCAGUCCGGAGCCUCCAGCGAUGUCCUGUCUAUCGUUGUCUCUUAUUGGGAACCAUACUUUGGUAGCUUUUUCUCACAUGGUUUUUGUGGGUAUUUGUUUUCUGUUUAGUGUUUUGCACCUUGACAGGACUGUUUCGGUUUCAU